rnacentral:rRNA from 1 species
ACAGGUGCUGCAUGGCUGUCGUCAGCUCGUGUCGUGAGAUGUUGGGUUAAGUCCCGCAACGAGCGCAACCCUUAUCAUUAGUUGCUACGCAAGGGCACUCUAAUGAGACUGCCGGUGACAAACCGGAGGAAGGUGGGGAUGACGUCAAGUCCUCAUGGCCCUUAUGGGUAGGGCUUCACACGUCAUACAAUGGUCGGUACAGAGGGUUGCCAAGCCGCGAGGUGGAGCCAAUCCCAGAAAGCCGAUCGUAGUCCGGAUUGUUCUCUGCAACUCGAGAGCAUGAAGUCGGAAUCGCUAGUAAUCGCGGAUCAGCAUGUCGCGGUGAAUACGUUCCCGGGUCUU